AUUGAUGUUUUAGGAAUUAGAAACCGAGGUCACACGUCAUGUUUGAGGCUGUUCUGCUUUUGAGGAAGCAAGCAGAGCUGAGGUUUCAGUUGCCAUUGAUUUCGGGUUGAGAGGAAAGGAAUUUCAUGAGGCAAUUGGAUUGUGGUUUGAACGUGUCGAGGAAACGGACGAAGAAUCUUAUGAAGAGUAGUUGUGUUUAGCUUAUGCAAUAGAAGAUGUUUUAGUUUAGUUAUUAUUACUCUUCCCUCGCCAUUAAUAUUAUAACUUUUGCAAGAGGGAUAGGAGUUUUG